GAGGGCAGUGUUCAAUUACCGGCUGAGUCGUGCAAGGAGGCUCAUAGAAAACAGUUUUGGUAUCCUGGCUAGUAGGUGGCGAAUACUGAAGAGACCUUUUCGAGCGUCAGAAGAAACCACUGAGAAGAUUCUAAGGGCAUGUGUGGCGCUCCACAAUUUUCUGAUGAAAGAUUCGGUGUUCGCAAGGACAACGUACAACCCUCCUGGAUUUGUUGACCAUGAAGACUGGGAGGGAAAUGUCAUAAAUGGGGCAUGGAGGAAUGACAGUAGUGCCCUUCCUGGAUGGACAGACCAGGGGUACCACUCUGCUCGGGCUGCAUUGGAAGUAAGGGAUAGACUGGCAUCCUACUUCAUGAGUGACGGCCAGGUGCCAUGGCAGGAAAGUGUCGUGACCCGUGCAGGACGGCAGGUUGCAGCGUCGGAGGACCAGUGAGGACCGAGCCAUCACCAAUGCCUCGACUAUCUCCACACCUGCGCCGUGCCGAAUGAGGUCCACGAGCAGCGGGUGGUGGUGGACGAGCUCGAUCGCUCGUGCUCCGCUGCUGCCGUCGUCCGAGUCGCCGUUGAGCACAAAGCGGGCAGCAGGCUCGAUGAGACAGCCAUUCCUUUUUGCUGGGCCUGGGAGAAAGAGCAAUUGCCUGAUAAGCAUUUACGCAUUUCUCGUGCAGUGAUGU